GACGAACGCUGGCGGCGUGCUUAACACAUGCAAGUCGAACGGAAAGGCCCUGCUUUUGUGGGGUGCUCGAGUGGCGAACGGGUGAGUAACACGUGAGUAACCUGCCCUUGACUUUGGGAUAACUUCAGGAAACUGGGGCUAAUCUCGGAUAGGAGCCCCUGCUGCAUGGUGGGGGUUGGAACGUUUCGGCGGGUGGGGAUGGACUCGCGGCUUAUCAGCUUGUUGGUGGGGUAGUGGAUUACCAAGGCUUUGACGGGUAGCCGGCCUGGGAGGGUGACCGGGCACAAUGGGACUGAGGUACGGCCCAGACUCCAACGGGAGGCAGCAGUGGGGAAUAUUGCACAAUGGGCGGAAGCCGGAGGCAGCGACGCCGCGGUCGGGAUGACGGCCUUCGGGUUGUAAACCGCUUUCGCCUGUUACGAAGCGUGAGUGACGGUAAUGGGUAAAGAAGCACCGGCUAACUACGUG
rnacentral:rRNA from 1 species